AGUGAACGCUGGCGGUAGGCCUAACACAUGCAAGUCGAACGGCAGCACAGUAAGAUCUUGCUCUUACGGGUUGCGAGUGGCGGACGGGUGAGGAAUAUAUCGUAAUCUACUUUUUCGUGGGGGAUAACGUAGGGAAACUUACGCUAAUAUCGCAUACGAUCUACGGGUGAAAGCAGGGGAUCUUCGGACCGUGCGCGAUUGAACGAGCCGAUGUCGGAUUAGCUAGUUGGCGGGGUAAAGGCCCACCAAGGCGACGAUCCGUAGCUGGUCUGAGAGGAUGAUCAGCCGCACUGGAACUGAGACACGGUCCAGACUCCUACGGGAGGCAGCAGUGGGGAAUAUUGGACAAUGGGCGCAAGCCUGAUCCAGCCAUACCGCGUGGGUGAAGAAGGCCUUCGGGUUGUAAAGCCCUUUUGUUGGGAAAGAAAAGCAGCAGGUUAAUACCCCGCUGUUCUGACGGUACCCAAAGAAUAAGCACCGGCUAACUUCGUG
rnacentral:rRNA from 1 species